CAGUCGCCGCGGUAACACGGAGGGAGCUAGCGUUGUUCGGAAUUACUGGGCGUAAAGCGCACGUAGGCGGUUAUUCAAGUCAGAGGUGAAAGCCCGGGGCUCAACCCCGGAACUGCCUUUGAAACUAGAUGACUGGAAUCUUGGAGAGGUCAGUGGAAUUCCGAGUGUAGAGGUGAAAUUCGUAGAUAUUCGGAAGAACACCAGUGGCGAAGGCGACUGACUGGACAAGUAUUGACGCUGAGGUGCGAAAGCGUGGGGAGCAAACAGGAUUAGAUACCCCUGUAGUCCCUGUCUCUUAUAC
rnacentral:rRNA from 1 species